UUUAAAGUCUAAUCUGCCCUAUGAGGAGUUAAAUGGCCGCGGUACUCUGACCGUGCAAAGGUAGCAUAAUAAUUAGUUUUUUAAUUGAAAGCUGGAAUGAACGAUUGGACGAGAAAAUAACUGUCUCAAUUUAAUUUUUUUUAGAAUUUUAUUUUUAAGUAAGAAAGCUUAAAUUUAAUUAAAAGACGAGAAGACCCUAUAGAGUUUUAUAUUUAGUUUAUUAUUAGUUUUUAAGUAUUAUUUUAUUUGUAUUAGAUUAAAUAUUUUGUUGGGGCGAUAGAGAAAUAUUAUUAACUUUUUUUAGAUUUUACCAUUAAUUUAUGAUUAAAUGAUCCAUAUUUUAUGAUUAGAAGAAUUAGUUACCUUAGGGAUAACAGCGUAAUCUUUUUUUAGAGUUCUUAUCGAAAGAAAGGAUUGCGACCUCGAUGUUGGAUUAAAAUAAAUGUUUGGUGUAGAAGCUAAAUGAUUAGGUCUGUUCGACCUUUAAAAUUUUACAUGAUCUGAGUUUAAACCGGCGUAAGCCAGGUUGGUUUCUAUCUUUAAUUUAUUUUAAUAUUUUAGUACGAAAGGACCAAAUAUUGAUAAUAAUUAUUUUAUUUUGAAUAAUAUUAG
rnacentral:rRNA from 1 species